UACGGGGGGGGGCAAGCGUUGUCCGGAAUUAUUGGGCGUAAAGCGCGCGCAGGCGGUCCUUUAAGUCUGAUGUGAAAGCCCACGGCUCAACCGUGGAGGGUCAUUGGAAACUGGGGGACUUGAGUGCAGAAGAGGAAAGCGGAAUUUCCGGUGUAGCGGUGAAAUGCGUAGAUAUCGGAAGGAACACCAGUGGCGAAGGCGGCUACCUGGACUAACACUGACACUGAGGCGCGAGAGCGUGGGGAGCAAACAGG
rnacentral:rRNA from 1 species